rnacentral:rRNA from 1 species
AGCAGCCGCGGUAAUUCCAGCUCCAAUAGCGUAUAUUAAAGUUGUUGCAGUUAAAAAGCUCGUAGUUGAAUUUCGGGAUCAAUAUUUCGGUCAUGCCGUUGGUAUGCACUGUUAUCAUUGAUUUCUCACCUUCUAAAGAACCGUAAUGCCAUUAAUUUGGUGUUACGGGGAAUUAGGACUGUUAACCUUGAAAAAAUUAGAGUGUUUAAAGCAGGCUCACGCUUGAAUACAUUAGCAUGGAAUAAUGAAAUAGGACAUCCGAUUCUAUUUUGUUGGUUUCUAGGAUCGAUGUAAUGAUUAAGUAGGGAUAGUUGGGGGCAUUUAGAUUCAAUUGUCAGAGGUGAAAUUCUUGGAUUUAUUGAAGACUAACUACUGCGAAAGCAUUUGUCCAAGGAUGUUUUCAUUAAUCAAGAACGAAAGUUAGGGGAUCGAAGACGAUCAGAUACCGUCGUAGUCUUAACCAUAAACUAUGCCGACUAGG